rnacentral:lncRNA from 1 species
UUGAGAUACAAAAGCUUGGAUCUAAAUCUGCUAGAACUAGCAAAGGUUACCUAAAGAUCCCCCAAAAAAGAUAAAAAAAAAUCCUUAGAUACAUAGUUAGGCUUAAUUUAUGAAGACUAAGGCUAAACAUGGAGAUCAAAAUGUCAGCAAUUGGCACUCGAAGACCCAGAGGACACUUUAAAGCGGGAAACCUGCAAAAAAGAUUAGAGGUCUAGGAAAAGCUCAGCAGCGGAUGAGAUCCCGAAAGGAAUCAGAGGACGUGACAGGCGGAGGCGGUUAGGCGUCCCGGCCCCGGCUAUCAUUCCGUCAAGGGUCCGCUCCGAACAAACCAGAGGAUUGAAGAAGUUGCGGCUGUUGAUCCAAUCCGACUAAUGGGAAAGCAAGCGGUGAAGAACGAGACUCGUGGACUGCAGGCAGUGGUUUAAACUCCUUACACCGGCUACAGCGUCGGAGAGAUAGAUGCUUUCCAAUCAACAAAGAGGCAAGACACACUCCUCACAACCUUCCUGCGAGCGCUUGAAGAACCGGAGCAGGAGCUCCACACAAACAGAGCGAUACGACUGACGAUAGGAACCUCACCGUACAAAGGAGAUCGAAACUGAGCAUGUCCUCAAAGCUCAGAGCCUCCGGAAGACGGCGAAAGAGAGAUAACGGCAGAAGAGUGACACCUAGGUUUGCUGACUUCAGAUCUAAAACAGAGGUCCGCCUUUCUCAGAAGGAGAUGAGAAGCUCUGAACUAACAGGAAAGUAAACAAACGACAGAGGAGAAGAGCAGGACGAGCGGGAACAAGGAGGAGGCAGCAACGCUCCCAGACUGUCUCCGUCGGCUCCGAGAACCAGAUCUACACAGAUCUGUCUUCACCCGCCGUAGAACGUACCCUGUCCGGAACCCUCCACCUUAGACCAAAGAAGAUACCUCGCUUUUGCUCCAGAGGAAACACAGACACCCGUGUGUUCAAUUUUAGGUCCGCCAAAGGUCAACACCGGUGGAGAUACAGAGCAAAACGCAUAUCGGAUCUACUUGGAGAAGAGAGUGGAGCGUGUGAGGCGGGAACCUGCGCAAGAAGAAACAAGGGGUGACCGGCGGUGAGAGGGCCACCGGCCACCGGACAACUAUAUCUGGUUUUCUUGUGGAGAGAGUUUUAGAGAGAGAAAAGUAAGAGAGAGAAGCAAACUCAACAAAAAUACGUAACUGAUGUUGUUUGCGUACAUUAGAGAAACGUAAAUGUAACUGAGAUACUAAGUACAAAAGCUUACACUACACGUUCGCUCAAAAAGCCACCAUACUCAUCUUCCAAAUCGGCGGGUAUGUCCCAGUGGAAAGCCGUUACUAGUGGUGUUAUGUCUAAAACAACAAUGAAAGGUUAGUUUUCUUCAAUUACAUUAUAGGUUGAUACGAUAAACCAAAAUGAACAAGAUAGUGAGAACAUAUGUGACCAUUUUUAAGGAGCUUGUCUAUAAGGUCGUGGUAAAAUUGAACUCCUUCUUUGCUUAUUCCUUUCUCCAUCCUCCCAUCUGUUAUAUAUUCAUCAAUUUCCAGCAACUAAUUCGGAAAAUUUUACUCCCUAUUUUUAUGUAUUAAAAACUUCUAAGUUUUAACUUACGGGGAAAUAUUCUUGGCCACGCAAUGGAUAGUCUAAAAGCAUCAGUGUUCAGCUUUUUCAUCAACUUGAUAUCCUCCUGUUGAGUUUUACGGUAAAUGAAUUUACAAAGUAGAGAGAGAGAGAGAGAGAGAGAUUACCUUGUACCGAUGGUAGAAAUCGACGGCCUCAUCAGCAUUAUGAUUCUUAACUCUAUCUGCAGUUUCAUAUUGAAAAAACCAUUUAUGAAUAUCAACUUUCUCGUCUCAAAAAAAAAGGAAUAUCAACUUAUACUCUCCGUUUCAUUUUAGUUAUCUCAUUUUAGAAUUAAAAUUGGAUUAAAACUGGACACACAAAUUAAAAAAAAAACCACUGGGUUUCGUAGGUCUUUUUUUGUCUAAAAAAAAAAAAUUAAAAAGCAAACCAAUCGCGGACCGCCACGAAUCAGUGGGACCCGCGAACAGUGUAAGAAACUCGCUAAAAUCGGUUUUUAAUUAAUAGUUUUUGUAACCGAUUCUUAAAGGUUUUAUGGAGAUCCACGCACUAAGAACCCCAUUAAAAACCCCGGAUAAACAUGCCGUAAGAAAAAGAAUCGUACUACACAAACUAAAGUUUUGUAUCAUAUGUUGAAACGAAAAUUAUCCAUUUUAGAUGCCCUUGCUAGUACGUAAUCGAGUCGAAUACCUCUUAUUUUGAACAAAAGGCCUAAGUCAACACUUUUUCGAAAAAAAAAUUCUUUAGAAAAAUAUUUUUUUUAGUACGAACUUUAAAUUACUAACUCGUAACUCAUAACUCAUAACUCAUAAAUGGGCAUGUUGAACUCGUAACUCAUAACUCAUAAAUGGGCAUGUUGACUCGAAAAACACACCAAUAUGUAGGUAUAUGGAUUAGAAAGCAUACAACAAUAGAUAAUUCAUAAUUGUGAAAAACAUUGUUAGUUGAAAACCAUUCUAAGACUCUUUUAUUUGUGUGCCUGAAUCAAUAUCUGAAUUAAUUUAUUAACCAUCUAGAUAUCUUAAAAAUAAAAUAUUAAUAAUUUUGAUAUAAUUUAAUAAAAAAAAUAUGCCAAAUAUGACUCACAACUUGAUUUUAAAUACAAAUCUAUACCCAAAUUUGAAUCAAAUGCAAAACUAACCUAAAAGCCUUGUGAAAAUACAGUCAGUCAUUUGUGACCAAACAAAAAAACAGAAGCAAUUUUUACGAAUAUAGCCCCAGUAAGUCGUCUGAGUCGUCUGAGAUGCUAAAAGUCUUCUAGACGACCUCCAAGUAAGUCUUCUGGUGUAGGCGUGGAACUGAUCUUAAAAAUAAUUUUUAAAUUUUUAAAAAAAUAUUUUGAUAAGCGAAAAAAUAAAAUCAUGUAAUUAUAAAUAAUUUUAAGUGAUAUAAAUUAAAAUAUAACAAAGCUAAAUUGUUUUAAACAUAGAUGAGUGUAGGUAGUGAAUUAUGGUAUUCUUUGGUCUAGGGUUUGGUAACAUAUGUUGUAGUAUUGUAUGUAUUCUUAGUGUUAGAUUUUGGAAAGCUCGAAAGUUUCUUUAAAAAAUUAAAUUUUUACCUAUAAGUGUUUAUUUUUGUGUAUAGUAAACACUUUUGAAGUUUAAUUUGAUUUUAUGAAGUAUUUAGUUAGUUAACUAAGUUUAGAGGUUAUGCUUAGGGUCUAGACGACUUCCAUGGAAGUCGUCUGGUGAAUAAUUUUAGCUGGACGACUUACAUGUAAGUUGUCUAAAUAUUCCCACCUAAAAUUUUUAAAAAAAUUAUUCUUCUGUUUAAAUAAUUUAAACUAAACGACUUACUUGUAAGUCGUCUGGGAAGUCUUCUAUUUUAGUUUCCCGCUAAAAAUAUUUUAAUUUCCCGCUAAAAAUAUUAAAGUCUUCUGGGCGACUUACAAGUAAGUCGUAUGAAUCAAAAAUAUUACCUAAUUGGAUUUUUUGUCUCCCUAUAUAAAGAAAAAUUUACACAUUCUCUCUCCUCCUCUCAAAUGGCUGCAACAAAAACGUAAUGUUCAUCAUUCUAAAACUCUUCAAAAUCUCUCUAAUCUCUUUCAACUUAUAAACACUAAGUUUUAUAUCAAUUUAUUGUUUUUAUCUCACGUCUUUCUCACUAAUUUAUCUUGUUUUUGCAGGUUUUUCAUCACAUGAUUCUCAUCUUCAAUUCAUUUAAAGGUAGAUAUAUCAAUUUUAGAUAUGUAUUUUUAUGUGUUAUAAAGGUAGAUUUAUCUAAUCUUUCACUCAUUUUCUCUGUUUUUAAGCCAUUUGAACGUUUUUGGAUAUGCAGAUUUUUCAGAUUUGGAUUUGGAUAUGCAGGUUUUUCAGAUCUGGAAGAAUUCUAGGACGACUUACAUGUUAGUCGUCUAAAAUAUAAUGCGCUAGACGACUUCCAGACGACUUCCUGGAAGUUUUCUGACGAAGUCUCCCUUUCAUAACAGAUCUGAGCGUUUUGGUAAGUUUUUAUGUAUGAUUUUUCUUCAUUUGGUAGCUUCCUGUUGUAUAAAGGUCUUACUUUUUUCUCAAACUAAAACUCUUCAAACCCACUCUAACCUCUUUGACUUGAAAACACCAAACUUUAUAUGAAUUUUUCAGUUUUGUAUCAUGUCUUUCUCACUAAUCUUUCUUUUUUUUUUUUGCAGGUUUUUAAUCAGAUGGUUCUCAUCUUCCACUCAUUUAAAGGUAGAUCUAUUAAUUUUUGAUAUGUAUUUUUGUGUAUUCUAUAAAGAUAGAUUUAUCUAAUCUUCCACUCAUUUUUUCUGUUUUUAAGCCAUUUGAACGUUUUUGGAUAUGCAGGUUUUUCAGAUCUGUGAAAAAUAAGUCGUCCAGGAACAAAAUUCUGACAAAAUCCAGUCAAAUGCAAAACUAACAUAUGAUGACUUACAUGUAAGUCGUCUAGGUUCUUUGAAGAUUUUUUUGUAACCAAACAAAAGCAUAUGACUUAUAUUUCAGUCGUCUCAGAAAACAGAUUUCAAAAAUAAUCUCUGCAUUGACCAGACGACUUCCAGGUAAGUCGUCUACAACCAGACGACUUACCUGGGAAGUCGUCUGGACGAACAGAUCUGGAAAAAAACUCGAUUUCAUACCUUAAAUUGGUGAGAUAACUUCCUUAGCACACAUAAGACUUCUCCAAGCACACAUAAUCUCAAACGAAAGUGACCCACCCAGAAUCGUUAGCUUCUAUGACUCUAUGAACCAUAAAAAAUGUAGAAUCAAAAUCUUGGGAUUUUUAGCUGAAUGUGGAGAGAAAGUGAGAGAGAUGUUGUGUUUAGUUCAUAAGAAUGGAGAAAGAAGAAGGGUAAAUCAAUUUUGGGAGCAUUAAGAGCUUCAAAUUGGUUGUUUAUGGUGGUUGGGGUAUUGAUGACAACGACAAUCUUGUAAUUACUUGAAGAUGAUGAGGGUGAGAGAGUAAAAAUGUAAAAAUAUCAUUUUCGAAAAAAAAUUGAUGGCAUUUUCGUGAAUUAUAUGAACUUGUGGGGUGAAUAGGACAAAACUAAUUUUAAAAAAAUGUUAGUUUUGUGUUUGACUUUGAGUUUUAGGUCAAUUUUGCAAAAAACCCAUUUAAUAAUAGUUAAAUUUUAUUCUUUUUUAUUUUUUUCUUUCCACUUUUAAUAAUUGUUUGUUUUCCAUUGGGUCCUUAUGUUCAUGGUGAAGUUGUUUUUUCUAUAAAAAAAAAACUAAAAUAAAUAUUUAACAAUAUAUAAUAAAAAUAUCAUUAUUUUCUAAGUAAAACCCUCAAAAGCAAGUUAUGAAUACUAGGCAGGCUCCUAGCAAAGAAAGAAAUAUAUAUAUAAUAAUAUAUGUAUAUUUCGUAGUAAAAAUAAUAAUAUAUGUAUAUUUCGUAGUAAAAAUAAAUGGUAGAGGAGAGAGACGUACGUGGAAAUUUCUUUGUGUAGAGAUCCCACAGGUUUGGUCCUCUACAACCUUCAUUUACUGCGCCUUCAACCUAUUUUCACAACAGAUACAAUACAUCUUUAAUAAGUACUUGUGUUUCGGAAAAGAGUGACUACGUAUCUAUCUAUAUUAUUAAACGAGAAGUACCCAUUAAAAAAUACUCCUAAGUUUUCUAAUUUAUUUACACUUCCAUGCCACUGAGAAUUAAACUAAACUACCUAUUUUAAUGCUUAUCUUUUUCAGUUAAAUUAAUUAGUUUUCCUUAAUCAAAUUUAAAUUUAAUGUCAUGAACCUACCUAUUUUAAUGUUUGUCUUUUCCAGUUAAAUUAAUGAGUUUUCCUUAAUGAAAUUUAAACUUAAUGUUAUUAAAUGAAUCUAAAAAUACAUCAUAUCUAACGUAGCUUAUUACGGACGCAUACAUCCCAAUAAUGAACUUGAAUUUUAUUUUUACGAAAACGUGAAUCACUUGACUUAUGUAAUAUUUAAAAUAUAUUAACUACAAUAUAACAAAUGCAUAUAACCUAUCUAUACUUUAGUUUGAAAUGAUCAUGCUCAAGCUUUAUAUAGUCAACUUACAUCAUGCAUCGAUCGAUGUACAAUAGUCAAACCACCUAUAGUUUUCGUUUUCUUUAUAGGAUGUAUCAACCAACCAAUCAUCCCAUUGAUUUUCUAAGCUUUAUAAAAAACAAAUAAAUAAAUACAAACUAAAAAUCCAAUAUCUUCUAUUAAUCAAAACAGAAUAUUCUCAAAGUCGUAUAUUUAAUGUACUUAUUAAAUAUAGAAACUGUAACCAUAAUUACACUAAUUAUAAGAAUAUAUUUGAUUCCAACCAAGUCAUAAUAUAAUAUUUCUUCAUAUUUUACAUUAAUAACCAUUGUUUUUAUAUAUCGUCUACAAUUCUCUAAUUACGUCUAUUUGUUCAAUUUUGUAUAUGAUAUCGAAUAUUCAUCAUAAAUAGAUGGUUUAAGAUGCCAAAAAAAUUAUUUACUUGGUGAAUAUAAUAAAUCAAAUAUUACAAAUACAUCAUUUAGUUAAAUAAAUAACCAUAAACCAAAAAUUCAUACCCGCGUCAGGGUCUAGUAUAUUUUUAUUAGUUGAGCAUGCGCAUCGUGUAGUAUUUAUGCUCGUAUGCUUAUAAUACUCUAUUCUUAUAUCUUUCAAAAAAAAAUUUUCUCUCCUUAUAAAUUACUAGGCAAGGAAAAUGUAUCAUAUUAUAAUUUAUAUAUUAUAUAAAAAAAUAAUUUUAUUUUCAAAAAAAUUCUUAUGUUAAAACGUAGAACAUAUGUGUUUAUAUUUAUUUAUAGAUAAUAUUAAAAAUGUAUAUUCUAUAAUUUUAAAUUACAACCAAAGUACAAAUACAUCAAUACUAAUAAAAUUAUACAUUUUUAUUAUUUUAGGUAAGUUACUCUAAAAUUUUAAAUUAUAUCAAUUUAUAAUAAAUAAAUAAAAUCUCUUAUUAAACAAAAAAAUCUUUUUAAAUUAAAAAUGUAUCGUCGUCGUCAACGAAAAAGUACGAACGAGUCAUAACCUAAGAGGUACAAACAGUCUUAAACUAUGGGAUACAAACAUGAAGUGAUUCAAGAGAUGUGAUUGAAGAGGUAUGAACUUGUUCUAAUGGGUGGACGAAUGUGCCUUGACCAAAGGUAUGAAUGUGUCAUGACUGAAAAAGUGUAAAUGGCGUGAACGAAGGGGUGUAAAUUGAAAUUGAGAUCCAUAAGAUAAAAAGUUUCCGGAUGGGUAAAAACAGGCAAAAUCUAAAAAAUAUUAAGAAAAUGAUAUAUUCUAAUUUGGAUAGACUUUUUAUGUUGUCGAGAAAAUGUUAUACUCUUAUAUCACUAGCUCCAUGGUUGACCAUAAGACAAAAAAGUUUCCGGAUGGGUAAAAACAGGCAAAAUCUAAGAAACAUUAAAAAAAUGAUAUAUUCUAAUUUGGAUAGACUUUUUAUGUUGUCGAAAAAAGUUCAUACUCUUAUAUCACUCGUACUAUGGUUGACCUUUAACAUUUUCUCAGUGAUGUCUCGUUCGCACUUUUUCAGUCACGAUCCAUUCUUACCUCUUCGGUCAUGAUUCAUUGGCACUCCUUUGGAUAGGACUCGUUUGCACCCUUUCAUUCACGAUCUAUUCAUGUUCUUUCAGUUACUAUCCGUUCACACUCAUGCGGUUACGAUCCGUUUACUCCUUUUGGUCACGACACGUUUGCACUUUUUUGUCACAACCCAUUUGAAAUCUUUUGGUCACGACCAUUUGCACCUUUUGGUCACGACCCGUUUGCAAUUUUUCGGUCAUGAUCCAUUCGCAACCUUUCGGUUACGACCAUUUGCAAUCUUUCAAACACGACCCGUUUGCAAUUUUUCGAUCAUAACCCAUUUGCACGCUUUCGGUCAUAACUCAUUUGCACUCUUUCGGUCAUAACCCAUUUGUACCCUUUUUGUCAUGGUCAAGAUCCAUUCGCAUCCUUUCAGUCAUGAUUAAUUUCACAUCCUUUCGGUCAAGAACCGUUCGCACCCUUUCAUUUAUGACAGUUCACAGCCUUUCGGUCACGAUCCUUUUGUACAUUUUUGGUCAUAAUACAUUCACACCCUUUCAGUCACAACACUUUCGCACCCCUUGGAUCAUGAUACGUUUGUACCUCUUGGAUCAUAGCAUGUUCGUACUUCUUAGAUUAUGACGCGUUCAUAUCUCUUAAAUUACAACACAUUUAUACCUCUCUGUUGAUGACACUAUAUAAAUAUUUAUAAUUUUUAAUCAGUGUUAAUAUAAAAAUUAAACUUAUAUGAAUUUUUUUUGUAUUUAUUAGUAUUUAGAUGAAAAUUUAUGUCUUUUUUGUUUUUACUUUACUCAUAUCUAUAUAUUAAUACUUCAUAAAUAUUUGUAGUUGUUUUAAAUAAACUUUUUAUGCUGACCAGAAAAGAUCAUACUCUUAUAUCACCAACAUCAUGGUUGACCUUUAGCAAUCUCUCAGUGGUGUUUCAUUCGCACAUUUUCAGUAACGAUCCAUUCUUACCUCUUUGGUCAUGAUCCAUUGACAGUGACACACCUUUGGUUACGACUCGUUCGCACCCUUUCAGUCAAGAACCAUUCACACUCUUUAGGUAACAAAUCGUUCACACCUUUUCGGUUACGAUCCGUUCACACCCUUUUUUGGUCAUGACCCGUUUAUACUUUUUCGGUCACAACCCAUUCGCAACCUUUCGAUCACGACCAUGUGCACUCUUUGGUCACGAACUGUUUGAAAUUUUUCGGCCACGAUCCAUUCGCAACCUUUUGGUCACGAUCCAAUCGCAACCUUUCGGUCACGAUCAUUUGCACCCUUUCUGUCAUAACCCAUUUGCACCCUUUUGGUCACAGUCAAGAUCCGUUCCCACCCUUGCAGUCAAGAUUAAUUUCACAUCCUUUCGGUCAAGAUCUAUUCGUACUUUUUCGUUUAUGAUCAUUGGCAGCCUUUUGGUCACGACCGUUUUGUAUAUCUUCGGUCAAAAUACAUUCACAUCCUUUCAGUCACAAAACGUUCAUACUCCUUGGAUCAUGAUAUGUUUGUACCUCUUAGAUUAUGAUGCAUUCAUAUCUCUUAAAUCACAAUAAUUUGUACAUCUUCAUUGAUGACACCACGUAAAUAUUUAUCAUUUUUUAAUCAUUGUUAAUAUGAAAACUGUGUCUCUUAAAUUUUUUUUAUGAAAAGUUAUUUUAUUAGUAUUGAAAUAAAAAUUUAUGUCUUUUUGUUUUUACUUUAUUCAUAUAUAUGAAUAGUCACAUCUUUCAAUUUAAAGGUGGUUAUUUUGAAAUGAUAUUUAUAUGAAUAGUCAUAACUUUUCAAUUUAAAUAGUCACAUAUUUUCAAUUUAAAGGUAGUUAUUUAGAAAUGAUACAUAUAUGAAUAGUCACAAUUUUUCAUUUAAAUAAUUACAUUUUUUAAUUUAAAUACUAAGUAAUACACAACUCUUGAAACGAAAAGACAUAUCUUAAUAUAUAAUGAAAAGACACAACUUUUAACAAGAAAUAAAAUUCCUAUAAAACACAUAACUUUUAUUAUUAGUAGAUUGUUUUUUUCUUCACCAUUUUAUUUGAUUAGUGAAAAUUAUGUUUUGAAAGGACAUGGACAUUAGACUAUUUAUAAAUUUUCAAAAAUUUGUUUGAAGAGUCACAUCUUUUGAAUUAAAAGGUUGUGUUUUUUUUAAUAAUACUUAUAUGAAGAGUUACAACUUUAUAAUUUAAAUGGUAACAUUAUUUCAAUAUAAAUAGUUAUUUUUAAAUAAAAAGACACAACUUUUAAUUGCUGAAAAAAACACAACUUUUCAACAUAAGUGGAAUUCACAGCAUUUUGAAUUAAUUGAGAUUGCUAUUAUUAUUAGAUAAACUAAAGUAAGUGUUGCUUUAUUAUUAUAUUUUUAUUUCAAGUGACACUUUCACUAAUUAAUAACUAAAAUCCUAACAAAAAUAAUGGACUUGCAGAAGGUUUUCACUAACUAAAUACCUGAUAGGAAGCAGUUGCGGUACCAAACAUGAAGCCCUCCGGGAAACUGGCACGACUAAGGGUUUCAGUUUUUGGGCAAACAGGUCCUUCCUCGGCCCUGGUAGGAGAGCCAACAAGACUUGGGAGCAAAAGUAACCCCAAGAGAGGAAUCUUCAUUUUUGAUCUUUUGUAUAACCUCACGAGUGUGUUUCUUGGUAAACGUAUAAGAACUAUAAGAGGAACACUAUUGUUAAUGGAGUCGAUAUGUAGAAGGGAAAUAUCGCCGUUAUAAUAUACACACAUAUAUAAGUAGCAACUAUGGAGUGAUGAAAUCUAUAGCCGAAAAUUGUAUUUGGAGGCCGCCAAGUGUCUUAAUUACACGAGUUUUUGAAGGCCAAAUGUCUCCUUUUUACUCUUACUACUGAAUGCACAUUGAUCACCUGUCUAUUGUUUUCUUCUCGAUUGUUCUCAGCUGACUGUAAGAUUCGUAAGUGUACGUCGAAUAUUCCUUACAGCUGGAUGUUAGGAUAAGUGUAUGAUUCUUCAGAAGUACAUGUGGACGUUAAAGUUUCUUAGUUACACUAUUACAUGCACAUUGGGUUUUGGAAGGCCAAAUGUCUCUUAUCACUCUCAUUGUUGCACGCAGACUGAUCAUUUGUCUGUUGUUGUCUUCUCGUUUUCCAGCGUAAUUUCAUAUGUGUAUGUCGAAUGUCUCUUACAUCUGGCUGUUAGGGUUCAGUGUAUGAAUCUUUAGAAGCACAUGUGGAUAUCAAGGCCAAGUGUUCGAUACUGGAGGGUCAUUAGUGUCCCAUUUCAACAAGUGGGACAAUUGUCAUAUAGAGUAACGUGUGAUCUUAGGACCACGAGUUUGGUUUUGAGUUAUCGCCUAUCUAGAUGUGCAUCUCUUAUAUAAAACGCACUUGCAUUCAUCUUCAUCAGUACCACACGAGCUCUCUUAUCUCUUUCUGUUAUCUAUAAAAAUAAAAUAAAAACAGAGGUAUUUCUCUCUCUCUCUCCAAAUGCUUGUAAAUGUCCAUGUUUUGGUUAAUUCUAACUAUUAUGAAAACUAUAUAUAAGUUCCAACUAAUAUGUAAAAAGUACGUAAGUUAUUUUUCCAUAAAGAAAAAAUAACAGUCGGUAUAUAAUGGUCAGAUACAACAAUGGCAGCCGCAACAAUGUCUUGGGACGACGGGAAGCACAUGAGGGUGAAGAGAGUUCAGCUUACAUAUGAAGAUGUUAUCAAGUCCAUAGAGGCCGUGUAUGACGAUGACCAAAAUCCUAAGCGUCAUGGCACUCCUGGCAAAAAAUCUGACGGCGUUAGUACUCACCAUCUUCACCAUAUAUUUUAUUAUUUAGUGUGUUAUUUUGAUAAAUUGUAAUAUUUUUAAUUUUUGUAGGUGAGCCUGAGUCCUGACGAGUACAUAACAGAUGUUACUGGCUACUACAAAACUACGGGGAACGAAGAUGCUAUAGCAGCGUUGGCUUUUAGGACCAACAAAACCGAAUAUGGUCCUUUCGGAAACAAGACCGGGAACCAGUUCUCCAUCCAGGCACCCAAAGAUAACCAGGUCGCUGGUUUUCAAGGCACCAGCAGCAAUGUUCUCAACUCCAUUGACGUCCACUUUGCUCCCAUACCGUCGGCUUCUGCUGGUGGCCAACCAGCUGGAUCAGCUGCCAGUGCCAAAAAAUUAGAGGCAAAAGGUGGUAACGCGGGAAACCCAUGGGACGAUGGUGCUCAUGAUGGUGUUAAAAAAGUGUACGUUGGUCAAGGCGAAUCUGGUGUAACGUACGUCAAGUUUGUCUACGAGAAGGACUCUAAGGAGGUCCCUGGAAAUGAUCAUGGAAAAAAGACACUACUUGCACCUGAAGAGGUUAAAUAUAUGAAUAUAAGAAUCAGUUAGCUCUAAAGAUUGCAAUAUAUAUAUAUCGUUUUUAUAAUGUUGUUUACAUUAAAACUGUGUUUACUUUCUUUUAUGCAGUUCGUGCUUGAUCCAAACGAAUACAUCACUGCGGUGGAGAUUAACUACGACAACAUAUUUGGAACUGAAUCCGAGAUCAUAACGAUGCUUAAGUUCAUGACAAACAAGCGAACCUCUCCACCUUUUGGACUUGAAGGUGCUAAAAGUGUCCUACUUAAAGAAGACGGUCACAAGAUCGUUGGUUUCCAUGGCAAAGCAGGUGCUGACAUACUUCACCAAGUUGGAGUCCAUGUCAAGCCUAUCUCCAAGUGAUUUGAGAAUGUCUUCUACUACGUCCCAGUGUAACAAAGAUAGUCAUAUGUCAAUAAAGAAGGCUCCACUUUAGAAAUUGUCAUUGUACGUGUGUAAACGGUAAGCGAAAGGGUUGAAUAAGGUAUUUCCACGUACUGUGUGCUUGUGUGUCAGUGUCUCCUUGUGUUGUAGUGGAGUUUGUAACACUCUUUGUAAGAUGUAUAAAAUCUUGGCUACGUUGUAAAGUGCUUACGAUUCCUUGAUGUUUUUGAGAUUUCAACCGGACAGGCCGGCUUAACACCGUUGCACUACAAGAAAUUGUUCAAUUUGUGACCACUUAAUCAGAAAGAAAUUGGUCAGAAACAAGCAUUUUUGUCCCAUUUCUCACCACUUAUAGUCGUCAAAAAUACUCCAUCAGAAAUCGGAUUUGGUCAGGAAGUGGUCAAUAAUUAUAGUAAUUUCGUCAGAAUUAUCGUCAUAAACUGGUCACAACAAUGUUGACGAUUUUGUGACGUGUUUCUAACCCUUUUUAUAUGAUGAAUUGGUGACCACUCUGUGACCAUUUGUUUUGAUUACUUUUUGACCGGCUUGUGACAAUUUAUUAUUGACAAACUUUUGACCACUUAUUUUCUAACGACAUUCUAACCAUCUAUUAGUGUUUUUUUUUAUUAAUCAACAAAAUUGUAUUUAAUAUAAAUAAAUGACAAAAUCAAAUAUUUUUAUAAUUAAAAUCUAAAUAAUAGCGUUCGAAAUAGUUUUAGCAAAAUACUUAAAUAAAGGCUGAAUAAGUUGUUUCUUGUAGUUAACAAACAAGUUACAAUUGGUCAUUACUAAAGUUUUAACCACAAAACAGAAGCAUGAUAACUACAAAACAGAAGCAUGGUAACUAAUACAUAACUAUUCUUGAGUGGCAUCUUCAUCUUCAUCUAGCAAUUCUGGAAAUUUGCUAACAACCUUAUGUGCCAAGUUUUGUAGAUACUUUAUAACUUUACCUUGGUCCACUUUGUCAUUCUCCAAAGUCGCAAUCUUCUCAUUUGCCAUAGCAAUCUUCUCAUCUGCCAAAGCAAUAUUCUCGCUUGCAAUACGUAAUUGCUCAUCUUGGUCUAAAUUAGGCAUGAAUCUAGCUGAAGAAGGUGGUUGUCCUGGCUCUGGUAGUGUUCCAAACCCAAAACGGUGACCCUUAAGUAUAGGAGUUUCCUGUAAAAAGAUACAUAUAAUGAAAGAACAGAAAAAAAAUAAUAACUAUAGAAACAGCAAUUGACUCACCCUUAAAACGAGAGUGUUGAUCUCUGCUUGGGUAAGAUGGUUUGUCUCAGUUGAUCUACCUUGAGUUAGCUGAUCAUUUAUCUUCUCUUUGACAGUCUCCACAAUCUGCUUCACCUUCUUGUCACAAAUGUCACCAGUCUUUCGAUUUCUAUGAGCAUCCUCAAGGAAUGCUAGCAUGCCAGGCUCUUCCCCUCCAUUUUCAAUGAUCUUACCAAGAUGAAAAUGAAAAAUUAACUGACAAUUAUAGUUAGCCAAAAAUACGUGAACAUUGUAAUUAUAAUUUACCAUUUCUUCUUUGCGUGUCUCGAAAGAUGUUGCCCCUGUGUUGUGUAUUGCGAUGCUGUAACCACCGCGUUCGCUUUUCCUGUUGGUAGAGUUUCUUGAAGAUUUUGCUUCAACCUUUUCAUCCUGCCACAUCAAAACGUAACCCUCCCAAGCUUUUUCUGAUACCCAAUUAGGAGGAUCUUUGUUCAACUUCCAUUUAUAUUUCCACGCACACAAUUUGCUUGAGAAAGAUUUCUGAGCCUUUUUCUCAUAAGCAACCUUUACGGUUUCAGUAAUGCUUCGUUCCCAAUCAAAUUGUUGCUGGAAAGUAGUGAGAAAUUAUUAUUAAUGAGAAAAAAAACUAGUUUAGAGUGAAAAAAUGCAUUACCGCAAAUGCUCUGAACCAUCGCGUUUUCACAUCACGAGGUAGAUGAUUAUACGUAGGAUACGCUCCUGGUAGGUCAGAUUUCAUCAUCUUUAAUAUUGCUUUAGAAAUUUUGCCUUUAUCAUAUUUAAACCUAUAAAAAUAAAUCAAUCUUAUCUCAAUGAAAGGGGUUUGCAAUACUUAAACCUAAGUCACCCCAAACCAACAAAUUAUAUAAUAGAAAUAUUUACCAAGUAGCUCUUCCACGCCGCAAGGGGUCGAGUACAGUGAGGCUCUCUCGUCCAGGAGCCCCCAAAAGAUCAUCCACUGUCAUAUGAGGGGUGGGCGCUGCAGCUGGUGUAGUCGAAGUUGAUGGUAUGUUCGUGACGUUGAUAUUAGCCUGGUUUAGUUGAGAGUAAUAAGUCUCAAAGCCUUGAAAGGAAUCAACAUAAAUUGGUGUUCCAUCACUUAACGGAUUUUGUUGAAGAAACUGCAGAAAUUGCUCUCGAGUAGGCAUCCUCUGAGAAUCGGCGAACGUGUGAUCUUAGGACCACGAGUUUGGUUUUGAGUUAUCGCCUAUCUAGAUGUGCAUCUCUUAUAUAAAACGCACUUGCAUUCAUCUUCAUCAGUACCACACGAGCUCUCUUAUCUCUUUCUGUUAUCUAUAAAAAUAAAAUAAAAACAGAGGUAUUUCUCUCUCUCUCUCCAAAUGCUUGUAAAUGUCCAUGUUUUGGUUAAUUCUAACUAUUAUGAAAACUAUAUAUAAGUUCCAACUAAUAUGUAAAAAGUACGUAAGUUAUUUUUCCAUAAAGAAAAAAUAACAGUCGGUAUAUAAUGGUCAGAUACAACAAUGGCAGCCGCAACAAUGUCUUGGGACGACGGGAAGCACAUGAGGGUGAAGAGCGUUCAGCUUACAUAUGAAGAUGUUAUCAAGUCCAUAGAGGCCGUGUAUGACGAUGACCAAAAUCCUAAGCGUCAUGGCACUCCUGGCAAAAAAUCUGACGGCGUUAGUACUCACCAUCUUCACCAUAUAUUUUAUUAUUUAGUGUGUUAUUUUGAUAAAUUGUAAUAUUUUUAAUUUUUGUAGGUGAGCCUGAGUCCUGACGAGUACAUAACAGAUGUUACUGGCUACUACAAAACUACGGGGAACGAAGAUGCUAUAGCAGCGUUGGCUUUUAGGACCAACAAAACCGAAUAUGGUCCUUUCGGAAACAAGACCGGGAACCAGUUCUCCAUCCAGGCACCCAAAGAUAACCAGAUCGCUGGUUUUCAAGGCACUAGCAGCAAUGUUCUCAACUCCAUUGACGUCCACUUUGCUCCCAUACCGUCGGCUUCUGCUGGUGGCCAACCAGCUGGAUCAGCUGCCAGUGCCAAAAAAUUAGAGGCAAAAGGUGGUAACGCGGGAAACCCAUGGGACGAUGGUGCUCAUGAUGGUGUUAAAAAAGUGUACGUUGGUCAAGGCGAAUCUGGUGUAACGUACGUCAAGUUUGUCUACGAGAAGGACUCUAAGGAGGUCCCUGGAAAUGAUCAUGGAAAAAAGACACUACUUGCACCUGAAGAGGUUAAAUAUAUGAAUAUAAGAAUCAGUUAGCUCUAAAGAUUGCAAUAUAUAUAUAUCGUUUUUAUAAUGUUGUUUACAUUAAAACUGUGUUUACUUUCUUUUAUGCAGUUCGU